rnacentral:lncRNA from 1 species
UCACAAGAUCAGGAGAUCAAGACCAUCCUGGCUAACACGGUGAAACCCCAUCUCUACUAAAAAAUACAAAAAGUUAGCCGGGUGUGGUGGCACAUGCCUGUGGUCCCAACUACUUGGGAGGCUGAGGCAGGAGAAUCACUUGAACCCAGGAGGCAGAGGUUGCAGUCAGCUGAGAUCGUGCCACUGCACUCCAUCCUGGGUGACAGAGUCAGACUCCAUCUCAAAAAAAAAUAAAGAAAAAGAAAAUGGGCACUGACAAAGGUGAAGUUACUGCUCAAGAUUAUGCAGAUAAGAGGUGGAGGAGGCAGUGUUGAUAGUCAGGCUUAUCUGACUUCUGCGUGUGACACUGGAGGAGGCAGCAAGGCAGCCUGCCAGAGAACUGCAAAGGCAGGGCUCCCCAAGACUUUAAGGAGCUUUGGGAAGUCCACUCAACUGAGAAAUGAGGGAGAAGGGAGUUAAAGGAAAUAAACUACAUUUAUUUACUAUUUUAUUUUUUAUUAUAGUCAGGUGCAGUGGCUUACACCUGUAAUCCAACACUUUAGGAGGCCAAGGUGAGAGGAUCGCUUGGGGCCAGGAGUUCAAGACCAGCUAGUCAACAUAGCGAGACCCUGUCUCUACAAAAAGAAAAAUUUUUUUAAAAAUUAGCUGAGCAUGGUGGUGAGUGUCUAUAGUCCCUGCUACUCACGAACCUGAGGCAGAAGAUUGCUUGAGCCCAAAAGUUUAAGGUUGCAGUGAGCUCUGAUUGCACCACUGCACUCCAGCCUGGGCAGUAGAGCAAGACCCUGUCUCAAAAAAAGGAAAAGAAAAUGCUAUCACGUGCUCUCUUUGGCAGCACAUAUACUAAAAUUGGAACGAUACAGAGAAGAUUAGUAUGGCCCCACACAAGGAUGACAUGCAAAUUCAUGAAGCGUUAUUCCUCAGAGAGCUAAAAGCAGAACUACCAUCGACCCAGCAAUCCCAUUACUGGGUAUAUACCCAGAAGAAUAUAAGUCAUUGUACCAUAAAGACACGUGCAUGCAAAUGUUCACUGCAGCACUGUUCACAGCAGCAAAGACAUGGAAUCAACGUAAAUGUCCAUUAAUGGCAGAUGGAUAAAGAAAAUGUGGUGGCUGGGUACGGUGGCUCACGCCUGUAAUUCCAGCACUUUAGGAGGCCGAGGCGGGCAGAUCACCUGAGGUCAAGAGUUCGAGACCAGCCUGACCAACAUGGAGAAACCCUGUCUCUACUAAAAAAUACAAAAUUAGCCAGGCCUGGUGGAACAUACCUGUAAUCCCAGCUACUCGGGAGGCUGAGGCAGAAGAAUCGCUUGAACCCGGGAAGUGGAGAUUGCUGUGAGCCAAGAUCAUGCCAUUGCACUCCAGCCUGGGCACCAAGGGUGAAACUCCAUCUCAAAAAAAAAAAAGAAAAGAAAAAUGUGGUACAGAUACACCAUGGAAUACUAGGCAGCCAUUGAAAAGAAUGAGAUCAUGUCUUUUGUGGAAAUGUGGAUGGAGCUGGUGGCUAUUAUCCUCAGCAAACUAGCGAAGAAACAGAAAACCAAAUACUGCAUGUUCUAGCUUAUAAGUGGAGACUAAAUGAUAAGAACUUGUGAACAAACACAAAGAAGGAAACAAUAGACAUGGGGGUCUACUUGAGGGUGGAGAGUGGGAGGAGAGAGAGGAGCAGAAAAGAUGACUAUUGGGUACUGGGCUUAAUCCCUGGAUGAUGAAAGAGUCUGUAGAACAACCUCCAUGACACUCGUUUACCUAUGCAACAAACCUUCACAUGCACCCCCAAACCUAAAAAUUAAAAAGAAAUG